rnacentral:rRNA from 1 species
UACGUAGGGUGCUAGCGUUGUUCGGAAUUACUGGGCGUAAAGGGCGCGUAGGCGGCGACCCAAGUCAGAUGUGAAAGUCCUGGGCUUAACCUGGGGACUGCAUUUGAUACUGGGUUGCUUGAAUUCGGGAGAGGAUAGCGGAAUUCCCAGUGUAGAGGUGAAAUUCGUAGAUAUUGGGAAGAACACCGGUGGCGAAGGCGGCUAUCUGGACCGACAUUGACGCUGAGGCGCGAAAGCGUGGGGAGCAAACGGG